rnacentral:SRP_RNA from 1 species
CAUGCUAACCGGGGAGUCAGCGGUGCCUUGUAACCUGCCAUCCGCUACAGCAGGGGUGAAGUCCCCGAUCGAGGAUCGGCACCGUACGGCAGCCGUAUGUCUUCUGUGUUGAAGAAUUGGUCCUGCGCAACCGGGACCCGUGAACCAUGUCAGGUGGGGAACCAAGCAGCAUUAAUCGGUCAUUCCGGUGUGCCGCGGGGGCGCCUGUUCAGAGCAGAAGUCAUUCAAAGCGCGUAUGGCGACGCAUUCGAAGCGGGGUGCAUG